rnacentral:lncRNA from 1 species
CCCAGGUAUUGAUCCUAAUGGCACUUUACAAGUGAAUGAAUCUGAAAAUGUUUUCUGCAGGGUAAAAUGUAAUACUAGUACUAUUCCAGUUAUAAUCAACAAUAGACCAUACAAAGUGUUGAAUCCCCUAAGUAAUAAGGAGUUGACUGCAAACAUAGUCAAUUUAGCAUCCAGUUCACGUCAGCCACAGGUAACCAAAAAAGGGGCAAUACUUAACAACCUAAUUGGAAUUACAACUACCACUGCAAUGAUAGAACAGGAUAGGAAAAUUAGAUGCGGUCUACUAAAUAUCAGAUCUCUGUCUUCUAAAGCAAUACUAGUAAACAAAUUGAUAUCCGAUAAUCAAAUUGAUCUAUUCUGUCUAACUGAAACCUGGCUGGGCCAUGAAGAUUAUGUCAGUCUAAAUGAAGCCACUCCUCCCACUCAUAUUAAUACUCAAAUUCCUAGAGGCUCAGGCCGAGGAGGGGGAGUUGCAGCCAUAUUUGACUCUAACCUGUUAAUUAAUCCUAAACCUAAACUAAAUUAUAACUCUUUUGAAAAUCUCGUUCUUAACCUUCAGCAUCCAACAUGGAAAACAGUACAGCCUAUUAUAUUUGUUGUUGUCUACCGAGCACCAGGUCCAUAUUGUGAAUUUUUAUCGGAAUUCUCAGAGUUUUUAUCAUGUGUAGUCCUAAAAUCAGACAAAGUACUUAUUGUAGGUGAUUUUAAUAUCCAUGUGGACGUUGACAGCAAUAGCCUUAGUACUGCUUUCAACUCACUACUAGAUUCAAUUGGUUUCAGUCAGAGUGUGCAUGAGGCCACGCACUGUUUUAACCACACCCUCGACCUUGUGCUGGCAUAUGGCAUCAAAAUUGAAGACGUAAUAGUAUUCCCGCAAAAUCCUUUAUUAUCAGACCACUUCUUAAUAACUUUCGAAUUCUUACUACCCGAUUAUACGAAAUUAGAUAAAAGCUUCUACGCUAGAAGCCUAUCUGACAGUGCUAUAGCUAAAUUUAAGGAAGAUAUUCCAACAGCACUAAACUCAUUAACGUGCCGUAAUAUAACAGAGGAUCUUUAUGUAAACUUUAGUCCCUCUCAAAUUGAUCAUUUCGUAGACGAUGCUAC